AUCAUGAUUGCAAUCUCACUCGGAAAAUCGAACCAACAGUUUUCCGCCUUUAUCAGUCCAUUUACCAUAUCGGAUGUAGUGCUAUUACAAAUCGCUCCUAUUCUACAUAUGUCGUUCCGCAGAUUUAUGGCCCGGGAAGCCGGAACCGGAAGGCGGACGAGAGCUGUGUGGUUAUUGGAACGUGCUGGUGCGUCGAUUACUACGCGUGAUUGUUGUUUGUUCAUUUGAUUAGAAUAAAUUCGUUUCGAUUGUGCACUUUUAUUUUCCUCGUGUCAAAGAUAAGCACUCGAGCAAUUAUUGCAACUGAACAGAUCGAUUUGAUAACGGAACCAUUGAAAGGAUACGCAAUUGAAGCUCCGAUGGUGCGUUCAGUUAUGUGCUUGAUCUCGGUUCGACAGGAAUCGCCCAUUUCCGGAGGUGAAUUCGUGAAAGGUCAGGGCUUUUGAAGUUUAAAUGCGUGGAAUAAUGGGUAAGAAGUCCUUCGAUAUCAGUGUACCGCAUCAGGAUGAAAAAUUGCCAAAAAGUGUUUCAAAGUGGAGUUUGAAGAACAGGAAGAAACGUUGGCUUCCGAUCUUAUUUUGUGCUAUUUGCUUUUCCCUGCUGAUUGGAUGGGUCAUCAGGGAUAUCUUUAACGGCCAUGCAGAUGGGUUUAACGCAACUGGUGAAAAUGAAACGGUUGCAGAAGCAAUGGAAUUCGAUAAUCUUGAGCAGACUAGUGGAAGAAAACCUGCGUUACCAAUACCCGAUGAUCCUCACUGUUCGAUGGAAGCAGAUUGCACAAUCGUAUGCAAGGACAUGAAUGUGCUAGAUUUGUCAGCGGCAGUUACUAAAACGUUGGAAGUGAGUAAUUUAUUGUUUUUGUAUACAUUAUUU